rnacentral:lncRNA from 1 species
UCUUAUACUUUCAACAUGUGUACAUGACCUACACACGUCUCCCCAUACAACAUACACUCACACUUAGCACUCAUACACCAGUACACCCCUACACCUAAUGUUCAUUUAUCAAAUUCCUAAAUUUACAGCAGCUAUACCAACCUAUAUGCACAUGCAACUCACACCCGCACACAACACAUCCACACCAAUACACCUCUAUUCUAAUCCCUUACACACACCCGCUACAGGCCUCCCUUUCAUACUUCCUAAUUUUCAAAAUAUACACACUUCACCCCCCAUGCCUACCUUCUCUGUUAGCACUCAACACACUCUCUAUCCCUGCCUUCACUCCUCCCCAAAUGGCCUCGGCUUCUCAUCCUUUCCUAGUAGAUGUAUCAACUCUCACAGCACCCUACCUUUCCUAUCCUCCACUGCUAGCUCCCCCUCUACUACUCUCCUAUGCCUAUUAUGUCCCUAACCGCCCCUCUCUCCACACCUUUCUCACCUCCCUUCACUUACCUCAUUUCGUGCGCUUCUGCCCAUCGUCAAUCAUACCUAUUCACAUCAUCUCCCUACAACCUCCCUUACACAUUUUUAAUCACAGAGUUCCUCU